rnacentral:rRNA from 1 species
AUGUCACAAACAAGAUAUGUGACCCUUCAUCUUCAAAGGUCCCCCUUCGUGCUGCUAGUAAGAUUAAUUAAGCCACGAAGCACUAUUGGCCCUGUAGAGUUUGCCAACAUAAUGAGACGCAAGUACCCAAACAUGGCAAAUGACCUCGUUGGAAUCAUUCUGAAGGAGCACAAUGCCAGGCUUAUGGCAAACAUCUCCGAGAUACGGCACACCACCCAAAUUGGGAUGCUAAAAUUUCUCGACGAGCUAGGGGCAUGUUUGUCCAGCAGAUGCAUAUGUUGCCAACUUGCCGGUCUUACGACAUGCCGUUUGGUAGAUACCAACACAGCAGGACAAAUAAUUGUCAAUGACCGGCUGGGACAACAGCACGAUCUUUCCGACAGCGAAGGCAGCUCCACUGGGCAUGUACAUCAAGCUCGGAAAAAGGGUAUAUGUACAGAGCAGUGA